GCUCCCUUCAGCAGUGCACAUAUCAAAAAUUAGAACAGCACAGAGAUCCACAUGGCCCCUGUGCAAGGAUGACACACAAAUUCAUGAAGUAUUCCAUAUUUUU